ACAACGGACGAGAAAAGGGAAGGAAAUCGAGGGAAUCUCGCGUCUCGAGCUCCCCGAUUUUUCACCUCUCCGUCCUCUCCGUCCUGCCUGCGGGAGAAUCGCUUAUCGCGGAUAAAUCAGAGCCACCCGUGAUUUCUCCCCUCUGUGUGUGGUCGCGAAACGUGUUUCGUGAAGUGGAAAGAAGGGGAGGGAGGACGAAGAUCUCUUUGGAAAGGAAAAGGAAGAAGAAGAUGAAGAGGAAGAAGGAGGAAGAGUUAGGUCGAAAUGGAACCGAGAAAACCGAAGCAACUUUAUGUACAGUUGUGAUAAUUUUAUGGUUGACCAUGUGAUAAUAAAUAUUGCGUUUGUAAAUAAA